rnacentral:lncRNA from 1 species
CAGCCGUGUCUGGGGGUGACAGCUCUGUCUGGGGGUGACAGCCGUGUCCCCAGUGGGUGACAGGCGUGUCUGGGGGUGACAGCCGUGUCCCCAGCGCGGUGACAGCCGUGUCCCCCCAGAGGUGUUCCCGCCGCAGAUGGAGGGGGUGAAGCUGAUCGUCACCAAGACCCUGAGCAGCCACUUCCAGGUCGGCGAGGGGACACCCGGGGACACGAAGGGGGGGUGGCCGCGCCCCGUGACCGCCGGUGUCCCCGCAGGUGACACACACGGUGCACAUGAGCGCCCUGGGCCCCUCCGGCUACCGCUUCAACGCCACCUUCCUGGGGGACCGCCAGCUCGGGCCCACCGAGGUGUUCCCCACGCUGCUCGGGGACAUGGACAGCGCCGGCAGCCUGAACGCGCAGGCCCUGCAGCUGCUGGGCGAGCGCCUCCGCGCCAAGGCCGUGUUCCAGGUGAGCCCGGCCACGCCCCGUGCCACCCCCGUGCCACUCCCCGGUGUCACCCGCCCGUGUCACCCACCCGUGCCACCCCCCGAGCUGUCUCCAGCGCUGUCCCCGCGCCCCCAGACGCAGCAGGCCAAGUUCGUGACGUGGCAGUUUGACGGCGAGUACCGCGGUGACGACUGCACGGCCACGCUGACGCUGGGCAACCCCGACCUGCUGGGCGGCUCCGGUGAGCGCCGCCGGCCCCACGCCGACCACGGCGGCCCCUCGGUGAUCACGGUGGCCCCUCGGUGAUCCCGGCGGCCCCGUGGUGAUCCCAGUGACCCCGUGGUGAUCCCGGCGGCCCUGUGGUGAUCACGGCGGCCCCGUGGUGAUCCCGGUGGCCACGGAGAGAUCCCGGUGGCCACGGUGGCCCCGCGGUGAUCCCGGUGACCCCGCGGUGGUCCUGGUGGCUACGGAGAGAUCCCGGUGGCCACGGGGAAACCACUGAGGCCCCGCGGUGAUCCCGGUGGCCCCGCGGUGAUCCCGGUGGCCACGGUGGCCCCGCGGUGAUCCCGGUGGCCACGGUGGCCCCACGGUGAUCACGGUGACCCCGGCGACACCAUUGAGGCCCUGCAGUGAUCCCGGUGGCCCCGCGCCGAUCCUGGUGGCCCCACAGUGAUCCCGGUGGCCCCACAGUGAUCCCGGUGACCCCGCAGUGAUCCCGGUGACCCCGCAGUGAUCCCGGUGACCCCGGGGACACCGCU